UACGUAGGGGGCAAGCGUUGUCCGGAUUCAUUGGGCGUAAAGGGUGCGUAGGUGGCGCCGUAAGUCGGGUGUGAAAUUUCGGAGCUUAACUCCGAAACUGCAUUCGAUACUGGCGUGCUUGAGGACUGGAGAGGAGACUGGAAUUUACGGUGUAGCAGUGAAAUGCGUAGAUAUCGUAAGGAAGACCAGUGGCGAAGGCGGGUCUCUGGACAGUUCCUGACACUGAGACACGAAGGCCAGGGGAGCAAACGGG
rnacentral:rRNA from 1 species